AAAGAUAUGCUGGUUUUGAGAGAUAAGAUGUGGAGAAAUUUCCUCCCUUAGUUUAGGGCAGGGCUGUAGGUGGAGACUCAGUGAUUUCCAUUCUCACUCACAGUCACUGAAGUCACGGGAAAGCAGGCGAUAACAACCUGCUGUGCCCCUGUCACAGUAAUCUCACGUUCUGAGAAUUAGCAGGGACCUCAAGUGUGUAAAGUCACAUUCAGCCGUGUGGAGACCAGCGUGACUAGCUGACUGCCGGGGCUCUGGCUGCUGCUGGGGCACAGCGCUGGCCACCUUCCCUGCGUGCCCAGGGUUUCCUGGGGUUCGAAGACAACUUGAGAAGUCAGAGAUCGAAAGGAUCUGGGUUGAAGGCCAGCGUGUACCAGAUCUUCUGAAGAAAGCCAUCUUCAAACCUAUCCCCUCGUUACAGGAAGUCUCAUGAUACCAUCUGAUAGACUGCUAUAGGACAUCUGCCGGAGGCUGUCAGCUGAGCUGCAACAGAAUUCCAAGUGGGUCUUUCCAAUCUCAUAAUCUGAAAUUUUCCUAAUCCUUGACUGGCUCAUUUGGUCUUUGUAGGGGGGGAAUAUGGAGGUAAAGGAAGAAGGAACGAUCUCAUUAAGGACAGGCAGCUUGCAAUUCAUUUAAUUCCCUGCCACACAAAAAACGUGCAUUUCAUCUUCUGAGCACAGCAUCUCUCCCAUGCAAAACAGACAUCAUAGGAAUAAUCGGUGGAGCUGACCAGAAAUGGACGAAAUGAAAGUACAGGCAGCAGUUACUUCUCUAAUGCCACGGGCACUCCUGAGGAGGCUCGCUGCCGUUCCCACAGAACUGUUUAGGCAUCCUUAACCGGGCCCUCUCCAGGGUUGUCUGCCACCCGUGGCUGGAGGAGAAGGGCCCACACUCCUGCUUCUUGGACAGAACGCAGCCUUCAUUGGGUCUUCAAGAGACUGGAGACCGGAGCUGCCUGGGAGCCUGCCCAAAACCUGAGAAGGCUUCCAGAGCUUGCUGAAGUUCCUCCAGGCCAGGGGCAGAUCUUCCUUCCCCAGGUGAACCCUACUACUCUACCCCACAGUCCAUCCAUAUUCAGGUGACAGUACUGAGCCCCCCCCCCCGUGGGGCCCCGGGGAUGAGGAUGUCCUGUUUCUUGUGCCCAGGGAUGGCGGAACUCUCAAGAUAGCGGAGAGCAGCAGGUCUUCAGGACGCCAACCUGGAGGGGAGACAACUUGACUUAUGCUAUGAAUGUAGACCCCACAAGAAGCUCCCCAAAGGAAUUCAGAAUUUUUCAUCUAUGCUGCACCAUGAAAAAUGGAUGUGUUUGGCGCAGAAGUCACUUGGACAUAAAGCCCAGCAUUGGUGGAAAUGCAGCCUUCAGAAGAACUUUUCAAGCCGCCUAGGUCACUCAUGCUGGUUUCUGCAGGGGAAGGUCAGGCUCCUGCCCUGAGGGAUGGAGAUUUCCUGCACAGUCCUAGAUGCUGAUGAGAUUUGUUUCUGUAGAUAAUCUGCAACAGUGAAAUUUUUCAUAA